rnacentral:lncRNA from 1 species
AAAGCCCUCAAAGCAAGCAGUAUUUUCCCCCGUUCAAAUAACCCACUAGUUUCACUGGCUUUGACUGGGACAUCAAAUCAUCAAGACAUUUCUGAACAGGAUAAAGGUUGAAAUGUUCGUCUAAUCGCCUGCCCCCUGAACAUCACUCGCCACGGCUCCCUUAAGAACCCUGACGGCCAGCUGCUGCUGUCUCUCUAACGAUGGAGAGCGUCUUAAUAGGCUCUGCACACACUCAGCUGUCUGAUAGCAGUGCUGGCAGCACCGGGCCCGAGACUCCCACUGGACACACAAAUACUGGAGACUGGAGACUGUUAACCUUGAGCUGCCACAGGGGGAAGAGGAGCAGGAAUGGCCACUGUCAUGACAGCACUAAAAACUGAGCAGACCUUCACCUUCACCAAGUUUGAAGUGAACACUGUCUUACAUCUGAUGCCAGGGUUUUAAACAAAGGGUCCUCUACAGGGUGUGGGGAUAAAACUGAAUGUUCUACAUUUUCUAAAUCAUGACAUUUCUGAAUUAACUGAACUGUGGAUCUGUGGAAGGAAUUGUAGCCUACUGUGUAGCAAUGUUAGUUUAUGUUUUCAUAGAUGUUAACGAAGCAUAUUUAUUUGUUAUUUACAUAUUGCAAUACAAUAAAUCAAUACAAUCUUUUCCUAGAUCAUAGGGCCUGUUUAAAUAAAAAUCAAGAGUUAUUUGGGGUUCAAAAUGCCACUGAAAGGGACAAAAUGUGCACCUAAUUUCUGUAUUGUUUUUAUAUAUAUAUAUAUAUAUAUAUAUCUGAUAUUUCUUAAUAUUCUUUUUCAGGCUUAAUUAUUUAUACAGAAUUAUUGCAAAUUAUGGCAUAAUUCUGAU